CGAAGGGUUAGGGGUUAAUAGCCCCGAGCCUGACGGUACCCUUCGAGGAAGCCCCGGCUAACUACGUGCCAGCAGCCGCGGUAAUACGUAGGGGGCGAGCGUUGUCCGGAAUUAUUGGGCGUAAAGAGCGUGUAGGCGGUUCGGUAAGUCUGCCGUGAAAACCCAGGGCUCAACCCUGGGCGUGCGGUGGAUACUGCCGGGCUAGAGGGUGGUAGAGGCGAGUGGAAUUCCCGGUGUAGCGGUGAAAUGCGCAGAUAUCGGGAGGAACACCAGUAGCGAAGGCGGCUCGCUGGGCCAUACCUGACGCUGAGACGCGAAAGCGUGGGGAGCAAACAGGAUUAGAUACCCUGGUAGUCCACGCCGUAAACGAUGAACACUAGGUGUGGGCGGAGUCGAAUCUGUCUGUGCCGCAGCCAACGCGAUAAGUGUUCCGCCUGGGGAGUACGGCCGCAAGGCUAAAACUCAAAAGAAUUGACGGGGGCCCGCACAAGCAGCGGAGCAUGUUCUUUAAUUCGAUGCAACGCGAAGAACCUUACCUGGACUUGACAUGGUGCUGCAAGCGCACGGAAACGUGUGACCUUCGAGGGUGCACCACAGAUGCUGCAUGGCUGUCGUCAGCU
rnacentral:rRNA from 1 species